rnacentral:rRNA from 1 species
GUGAGGAAUAUUGGGCAAUGGGCGAGAGCCUGACCCAGCAACGCCGCGUGGAGGAAGACGGCCUUCGGGUUGUAAACUCCUUUUGACGGGGAAGAGAGAGGACGGUACCCGUCGAAUAAGUCACGGCUAACUACGUGCCAGCAGCCGCGGUAAUACGUAGGUGACAAGCGUUAUCCGGAAUUACUGGGCGUAAAGCGCACGCAGGCGGCAGAUUAAGUCUGACGUGAAAUCUCCUGGCUUAACUGGGAGGGGUCGUUGGAAACUGGUCAGCUUGAGGUGGUGAGAGGGGUGUAGAAUUCCCGGUGUAGUGGUGGAAUGCGUAGAUAUCGGGAGGAAUACCAGUGGCGAAAGCGACACCCUGGCACUAGCCUGACGCUCAUGUGCGAAAGCGUGGGGAGCAAACGGGAUUAGAAACCCGGGUAGUCC